GCUCCUAUCGUCUAGUCUGGUCCAGGACACAUCCUUUUCAAGGAUAAAACUCGGGUUCAAAUCCCGAUGGGAGCA
rnacentral:tRNA from 1 species